rnacentral:rRNA from 1 species
UACGUAGGGGGCUAGCGUUGUCCGGAAUCAUUGGGCGUAAAGAGCGUGUAGGCGGCCCGGUAAGUCCGCUGUGAAAGUCGGGGGCUCAACCCUCGAAUGCCGGUGGAUACUGUCGGGCUAGAGUGCGGAAGAGGCGAGUGGAAUUCCUGGUGUAGCGGUGAAAUGUGCAGAUAUCAGGAGGAACACCUAUUGCGAAGGCAGCUCGCUGGGACGUAACUGACGCUGAGACGCGAAAGCGUGGGGAGCAAACAGG